rfam:Blautia hydrogenotrophica CAG:147 genomic scaffold, scf242
AAGAAGAAUUCGGGAGAGACCGUCUAAAAAGACGGCGCCGAAGGGGAAAGGUGGAAACUCUCAGGCAAAAAGACCGGGUUUGGACG